AUAUUUUUCUUUCUAAAAAAUAUUCUGCACUUGCGCAAAAACUGGUGAGCGGUAAGGAAAUGUUUCCAUCAAGAAAUAUGCAUUAGUGGGCAUUAGGUAGAAAAAGGUUGACUACCAUUGGUUUAGGUACUUUUAGACACCAUAACGUCAUCUAAAUACAAUUGUUACGGUGUAAAGAGGCCCACAGGCAUACUCUUAGCGCAAUGGGUUCAAUUACCAAAUGAUUUAGCCCCAAAGUUGCCUCAAGUGCAACUUUAUACUCCCUCCAGCUUCUAAAAAGCUCAGUUUCAGGAAUCUCAGAGUUCCGCUGACAGUGGUCAGCUGAUGCUCCCAGCCACUCAGCUACCCAUUCACAAAACUGACUUUGAAAGAAACGUACCUUUUUCAAGCCAGUUUUGUGAAUGGGCAGUCACUUAUUGGCUCAGAGCAUCAGUUGACAACUCUCAGGCAAUCAGCAGCACUCCUAAUCAUCAGCAAGCCAUGCUUUCUGAAACUGAAACUUUAGAAGCCAGAUGCUUG